AGUGAACGCUGGCGGUAGGCCUAACACAUGCAAGUCGAACGGCAGUACAGUAAGAGCUUGCCCUUACGGGUGGCGAGUGGCGGACGGGGGAGGAAUACAGCGGAAUCUACUUUUUCGUGGGGGAUAAAGUAGGGAAACUUACGCUAAUACAGCAUACGACCUACGGGGGAAAGCAGGGGAUCUUCGGACCUUGCGCGAAUGAAUGAGCCGAUGUCGGAUUAGCGAGUUGGCGGGGUAUAGGCCCACCAGGGCGACGAUCCGUAGCUGGUCCGAGAGGAUGAUCAGCGACACUGGAACUGAGCCACGGUCCUGAGUCCUACGGGAGGCAGCGGUGGGGACUAUUGGACAAUGGGCGCAAUCCUGCUCCAGCCAUACCGCGUGGGUGAAGAAGGCCUUCGGGUUGUAAAGCCGUUUUGUUGGGAAAGACAAGCAGCAGGUUAAUCCCCCGCUGUUCUGACGGUACCCAAAGAAUAAGCACCGGCUAACUUCGUG
rnacentral:rRNA from 1 species